GAUACAGGCGCAAUCGGAGAAAAGGUCCUUCAGGAAUCGGAUAAAGUGAGGAAGAGGAGGAUGAAGAGGAUCGCAGAACGAUCAUCUGCUUCUUUGGACACAUUGGUUGAUUAUCCCUGAUUCUCAGAGGUAUGUCGGGGUGAGCUGGUCAAGUGGACUGUUAUCUCGCAUGGCCCUGUACAAACCCGUAUGACCGUCUGCCUGCACUCUGACCCGGGGGAGCAUGAGGAUAAACAGAUGCGUGAGCCUUCAUCACUCUCCCUCCACCACCACCAUCAUCAUCAUCAUCAUUUACCUUGAAGGGGGUGAGGAGGAGGUGCGCCAGAACACAUCAGACGCUCCUCUGCGGGUGGAAAGGGAGAGAAGAGGUGACUUGCCGAUUUUCUCAGAUCAGCAGCGCUGAUGACUUCUCUCAGGGGGAGCUGACCCAAUUCGCCUGGGUGUUUAUCACCGGCACAACAAGGUCACGGCUGACAAAGCAGCGCUAGUGUGGUCUCUUUAUGCUGUGGGGUGGGAUGGGAAGGCCCAGGGCGGUUGAGGAGCUGUUUAACUGC